UCUUCGGAUGAAGUCUCUUGUGACUGAGUGGCGGACGGGUGAGUAACGCGUGGGUAACCUGCCUCACACAGGGGGAUAACAGUUGGAAACGACCGCUAAUACCGCAUAACCCGCUGGUGCCGCAUGGCACUGACGGAAAAGAUUUAUCGGUGUGAGAUGGACCCGCGUCUGAUUAGCCAGUUGGCAGGGUAACGGCCUACCAAAGCGACGAUCAGUAGCCGGCCUGAGAGGGUGAACGGCCACAUUGGGACUGAGACACGGCCCAGACUCCUGCGGGAGGCAGCAGUGGGGAAUAUUGCACAAUGGGGGAAACCCUGAUGCAGCGACGCCGCGUGAGUGAAGAAGUAUUUCGGUAUGUAAAGCUCUAUCAGCAGGGAAGAAAAUGACGGUACCUGAUUAAGAAGCCCCGGCUAACUACGUGCCAGCAGCCGCGGUAAUACGUAGGGGGCAAGCGUUAUCCGGAUUUACUGGGUGUAAAGGGAGCGUAGACGGUGAUGCAAGUCAGAAGUGAAAGCCCGGGGCUCAACUCCGGGACUGCUUUUGAAACUGUGUAACUGGAGUGCAGGAGAGGUAAGCGGAAUUCCUGGUGUAGCGGUGGAAUGCGUAGAUAUCACGAGGAACACCAGUGGCGAAGGCGGCUUACUGGACUGUAACUGACGUUGAGGCUCGAAAGCGUGGGGAG
rnacentral:rRNA from 1 species